rnacentral:rRNA from 1 species
UGAGGAAUAUUGGUCAAUGGACGCAAGUCUGAACCAGCCAAGUAGCGUGCAGGAUGACGGCCCUAUGGGUUGUAAACUGCUUUUAUAUGGGGAUAAAGUGGGGAACGUGUUCCCUUUUGCAGGUACCAUAUGAAUAAGGACCGGCUAAUUCCGUGCCAGCAGCCGCGGUAAUACGGAAGGUUCGGGCGUUAUCCGGAUUUAUUGGGUUUAAAGGGAGCGUAGGCCGUUUGGUAAGCGUGUUGUGAAAUGUAGGAGCUCAACUUCUAGAUUGCAGCGCGAACUGUCAGACUUGAGUGCGCACAACGUAGGCGGAAUUCAUGGUGUAGCGAUGAAAUGCUUAGAUAUCAUGACGAACUCCGAUUGCGAAGGCAGCUUACGGGAGCGCAACUGACGCUAAAGCUCGAAGGUGCGGGUAUCGAACAGG